CCCCUAUGACAUUUAUGAUACAUUAGUUCCGAUGGCAUGUGUUACCUGAGCUGAUACCGUGCUUCACGUUCUUAUAUCCGUUCUCCCAGAGCUGGUGGAUGGAGCUCCAUGGCACAUGACUGGCAAAACUACGGGUUAUGCUGCUAAUUUCUGCUGCUACAAUGCUGUUAUAAAGUCUUGUGAGUCAAACCGAAGAAAUAAGGAAAUAAAUCCAGAAGACUUUUACAAAGAAACCGGAGAUAAGAUACCUCUUCAGAAUACAGAAUACAUGGGCAGGAACCAGGAUAGACAGCCUUGGCUGUUCACCAGUUGAAAGUGGAAUUGGAUACCGGUGGGAAAACUGGGAGAUGUGGUACCACAGUGUUGUCACAGACCAUGGACACAAGGGGUCCUCACAGGG